rnacentral:rRNA from 1 species
AAUGAACGCUGGCGGCAUGCCUUACACAUGCAAGUCGAACGGCAGCAUGACCUAGCUUGCUAGGUGGAUGUCGAGGGGCGAACGGGUGAGUAAUGCAUCGGAACUUGCCUUUUAGUGGGGGAUAACUUAGCGAAAGUUACGCUAAUACCGCAUAUUCUCUGAGGAGGAAAGCAGGGGACCUUCGGGCCUUGCGCUAGAAGAGCGGCCGAUGUCGGAUUAGCUAGUUGGUAAGGUAAAGGCUCACCAAGGCAACGAUCCGUAGCGGGUCUGAGAGGAUGAUCCGCCACACUGGGACUGAGACAAGGCCCAGACUCCUACGGGAGGCAGCAGUGGGGAAUUUUGGACAAUGGGCGCAAGCCUGAUCCAGCCAUGCCGCGUGAGUGAAGAAGGCCUUCGGGUUGUAAAGCUCUUUCGGCUGGGAAGAAAUCGCACCCUCUAAUACAGGGUGUGGAUGACGGUACCAGCACAAGAAGCACCGGCUAACUACGUG